UUUUAACAGCGUUAUCAAGUCGUUAGGGUGCCUGAGGCGGAGGAGCAAGUGCAGGGGAUCCAUCGGUGGGAGACCCUUAGAACCUAGCUAAGAUGGAAGAGGAGGUGAGGAUGCUUCUCCAGGACGCUUUUGGCGAAUCAUCGGAUGGCGAAGGCGGCGAUGAAGCACAAGAAAGGAAGUCCCAAGAUUUGAACAAGCUCUCGAUUUUUGGUGAAAUCCAAAACUGGGAAAGAAUUGACCAAAUUAAGGGCUUAUGGUUAUGCAGGGACUUCCUAUCUCCCGAUCAACAAUCUUCGCUGCUCUCCGCAAUCCAAAAAGGCACUUCUAUCAAUUUGUAAAAACCUUUCUAACUUAACUGCUUUUAUUUGGUUGUUGCGUACUAAGAUGAUUGUUAGCCGCUCGAAAAACUGGUGAUGGCAUGUGAGCUUUCGUAUAUUUUUUUUUCCUUGAGUCCUAAUACAAUUUUUAUGUUUCUUUAGAGUCGAAUCAAAUUAAAUUUGUUUGAGUUUGAUUAAAUGCUUAUUAAAUAUUUCUCAAAGGAUGAUUGAUAAAAUCACAAAAUAAUAAUUGAAGAGGGCUCUCAUGCAAGUGUUAUUUGUGGCUGCAGAAGGAUGGUUGAGUGAAUUCUCUGGAAAUCAGGUAUUAACACUUACUGCCCCUUAGUUCUUGGAAAUGUUGAGUUGAAUGUUCUGUAAUCGUCGCUGCCCGUUGACGGCUCUUGGAUUCUCACUUCCACUGGUUAUUGCGAAUUUGUAGAAAUCUGGUGCUAAAUGGAAGACCACACCUGUUUAUUUUCUUGUUUUAUUUAUUUGGAUGAAUUUUAGAAGAAUUGAAAUCGAUCAUACCCGUCAUGCCUUAAAACACUUCAGAAUUUGAUCUUUUGUCAACCGACUGCACAUUGUUAUUUGUAAGCUAAUCCGUUUCACAUUACUCUCCUUCACAAUCGCUCUAUUAAUGUUUCAGCAUAUAUGCAUUUUCUUUGUCGUUGAAGGCCAUGAGAUUUGGAAAUCUUCCCCAAUGGGCCAUUGAACUUUCCAACUCCAUUAAGGAGACUGUUUUCGUCAGUCAUUAUCUCUCUGAAUCCAGGAACUUACCAACUCGUGACAAAGGUAAAGAGGCCUACCCCCUUCCACCAGAAUUGUUAUGGAGGGAACCACUAUUUGAUCAACUUAUUGCGAACACAUACCAACCAGGGAAUUUGUGCGCAUGUUGAUCUGAUGCGCUUUGAUGAUGGAAUUGCCAUUCUUUCUUUGGAAUCAUCCUGUGUCAUGCACUUUAGUCUAGUUGAGGAUGAGUUAUCUGAUUAUAGAGAGGAGAAGGCGGGCAAAAAUAGUUCUUCUGCAAAGAUCCCUGUGCUUUUAACCGAAGGAUCGUUGGUCCUAAUGUGGGGAGAAGCACGCUACUUUUGGAAGCAUGAGAUUAAUAGGAAGCCUGGUUUUCAGAAGUGGAUGGGGCAAGAAAUUGAUCAAAGAAAGCGAACCUCUAUUACAUUGAGGAAGCUUUGCUAAACUACACCAUAUUCCGUGGUACAAUAUUAUUGUUACAACAUAAUCUACUCUUUUCUAUCUCGACUGCAGAUAACUCUUUUCAGUA